rnacentral:rRNA from 1 species
AGAGUUUGAUCAUGGCUCAGAUUGAACGCUGGCGGCAUGCCUUACACAUGCAAGUCGAACGGCAGCACGGGGGCAACCCUGGUGGCGAGUGGCGAACGGGUGAGUAAUAUAUCGGAACGUACCUAAGAGUGGGGGGAUAACUAGUCGAAAGAUUAGCUAAUACCGCAUACGAUCUACGGAUGAAAGUGGGGGCUCGCAAGACCUCAUGCUCCUAGAGCGGCCGAUAUCUGAUUAGCUAGUUGGUGAGGUAAAGGCUCACCAAGGCAUCGAUCAGUAGCUGGUCUGAGAGGACGACCAGCCACACUGGGACUGAGACACGGCCCAGACUCCUACGGGAGGCAGCAGUGGGGAAUUUUGGACAAUGGGGGCAACCCUGAUCCAGCAAUGCCGCGUGAGUGAAGAAGGCCUUCGGGUUGUAAAGCUCUUUUGUCAGGGAAGAAACGGUGAGUGCUAAUACCACUUGCUAAUGACGGUACCUGAAGAAUAAGCACCGGCUAACUACGUGCCAGCAGCCGCGGUAAUACGUAGGGUGCGAGCGUUAAUCGGAAUUACUGGGCGUAAAGCGUGCGCAGGCGGUUGUGUAAGACAGGUGUGAAAUCCCCGGGCUUAACCUGGGAAUGGCAUUUGUGACUGCACGGCUAGAGUGUGUCAGAGGGGGGUAGAAUUCCACGUGUAGCAGUGAAAUGCGUAGAGAUGUGGAGGAAUACCGAUGGCGAAGGCAGCCCCCUGGGAUAACACUGACGCUCAUGCACGAAAGCGUGGGGAGCAAACAGGAUUAGAUACCCCAGUAGUCC